GACGAACGCUGGCGGCGUGCUUAACACAUGCAAGUCGAACGGAGCGAAUGAAAGCUUGCUUUUAUGAGCUUAGUGGCAAACGGGUGAGUAACACGUAGACAACCUGCCGAUCAGAUGGGGACAACAUUCCGAAAGGAAUGCUAAUACCGAAUGGUGUGCGGGGGAGGCAUCUCCCCCGCAUGAAAGAUGGCCAAUACAUGUAAGCUAUCACUGAUUGAUGGGUCUGCGUCUGAUUAGCUGGUAGGUAAGGUAACGGCUUACCUAGGCGACGAUCAGUAGCCGGUCUGAGAGGAUGAACGGCCACAUUGGGACUGAGACACGGCCCAGACUCCUACGGGAGGCAGCAGUGGGGAAUCUUCCGCAAUGGGCGCAAGCCUGACGGAGCAACGCCGCGUGAGUGAAGAAGGUCUUCGGAUCGUAAAGCUCUGUUGAAGGGGACGAACGUGUAUAGUGCAAAUAGUGCUAUAU
rnacentral:rRNA from 1 species